CAAGGCCUGGUGGCGCAGCAUUUGUCUGUGACUCAACAAUCCACAGCAGCAUAAAAUGAAACAGGCUGCUAACAACAUGUGUCUUUCAGUCUUCCCCUGUGCAAGGUAGAGCCCCCCAGAGUUUCAGUGUUCAGCGGAAAGCAGAUUUCCCCCCCAGGUCUGGCUCAGGAAUCAAACCACAGAAACAAAGACUGAAACUGAGAAGACAUGUUCAGGAGCCCCUGCCUCCUCAGCCAGCAGAUUUUACAGUACAGCAGUGAAUUCAGCCAGCAGCAGCUCCAGCUCGGAGACCCCCCCUCCUCUUGGCAUGAAAGACAGUGGACAGACAUAAAAAACAGCAGGCACCGAGCCGGGAAAGAAAGCAGUGAGCUUGGUGAAGGGGGAGUGUGUGAUGCACACAGUGGACCGAUUCCGAUUAUAGGUCAGCUACAAAACCCACAGGGCUCUUUGUGCAAAAAAGCCUGCCCAACAGGAACUAUGAUUCUGCCACCAAAAUGUGGAUCUGGAGGACUACAGCCAGUUGAUGGAGGAUUUGCAGAGGAUUCCCUCAGUGACCCUGACUUCGCUGGAAGGAAUGGAGAAUCUGGACCUGGCUGCAGCGACUGCUGUGUCUGUUAAAAGUGCCACUCUGGGUGCCCUGCUGAAGCUGUGUGCCAACUGGCAGAACCCCAGCGCCACCACGCAGGGCCGCUGUGUGCUGGUGUCAUGAUCGCACUUCGAGGUGGAGACAUGAAGACCAGGAAGUGGAGCUUUCUGCUUGAGGAUUGCAAGGGGCUAAGUGAGAGCAUUCAAAAGCAGGCCUGCUUUCUCAUUCAGAAAAUAGUGCGCUCCAGUGGAAGUGCUGUGUGGGAUCCCCUCAGACAGUUCAGUCAGACCCAACCCCACAAGCCUGAGAUCCCAGUGUCGCCCCCAUGCUGCAAAACGGCCUCAUUCACUUCCAGAGACAAUGCAGUACAAUACAAUAUACACAUGUUGAGAGAUCUAGCAAUCCUGUUGAGUGAAUAUUGUCAAUUUGGAACCUACCUUGCAUUAAUUUAAAUCUAGCGACAGAAUGACCGGAUGAAUCUCCCUGUUCUAAAUUACACCACAUUGCUUAGCACAUGUAGAGCUUGAUAUAAGGAAAGCAAUUCUCCUAAUUCUGCUGUUAAGUAUAUGCUUAAACAUGCUUUAUUUUCCAACAAUUGUUUUUAAAACAGAAUAACCCAUAAGUGAAAUGAAGCAAUGUACUUUCUGUUUAUAAUAGCUUUAUUCUGUAACUGUAUAAAUUUGGCAAUUGGAUGUCAUUAUGGGCUUUGCAACAGUCCCUGUUGUGUUUAGAGAUUGUGUGAAAGACUAUGCUGUGCAGCUGUACUGUGAGCAAACCCCACAGUCCCCUUCUAGUGUCCUCCUCUGUGAUCUGUAGCUUUGCUGUGUCGCGGGAGGGCCGGCUGCUCCUGGUUCAUGAUAUGGGCCUGGGGACGACGGUCCAGGCAAUCUGCAUAACAACGUACUACAGGAAGGAGUGACCCUGCUGGUGAUAACACCCUCUUCAGUCAGGUUCACCUGGGCUGAGCUACAGUACAGGAUGGCUGUGCUACACGGAGUUAUUUUCUGAGAGUUGUUAAAUGUUUAAACAUUUACCAAGGACUAAACUUUUUUUGUUCCUAAAUGUUUUCCUUAGCGAUGCAUGCCAAAUUUAGGUCAGCUUUACUGUUGAUACAGUAGGAUGUGUGCAGUCUAAGGUGAUUUAUGUAAUAUUAAGUCUUUUACGUUCUCACAUAAUGUAGACACUUACACAUUAAUGUUGUUAUAGAUCACAAAAAGUAACAUGCUGUCUUUGUAUUCAUAUAGGCAUUUCAGAGGUGGUUGCCCUCUGUGAAGGCUGACAGCAUCAAUGCUUUUGUCAAAGGCAAAGACAGUCUCACCUCGGGAAUCAUCAACAUCAUCAGUUAUGACCUCCUCACUAAGAUGAACAAGCAGCUGCUGGGAACGUCCUUUAAAGCCUUGAUCAUGGAUCUCCCUUCCUGAAGAACACAAAGACAGCAUGAUGUAACUCUACAAUGCCUCUACUUAGGGUACUCUGCAACAGUGGUUGUCAAACUUUUUGUGCCGCACUCCCUUCCUCUUGUCUGUGGUACUUGACGCCCACCGCCACCCCCCCAACAACACACAUACACAUACACACACACACAUAGGUAAAGAAAAAAACUCCAGCAUGCCUGUGGCUUCUCUGUAUUUUUUGCAAGAACCAGCCACCGAUCCAUUGUAAUAAGAGCAAAAUUAACACUGCAGUUUACUGAUUGUGCUCACUACAUAGUAAGCUGAUAAACAACAUACAUUACCAGAUGGCAGCGGACUUCAUCCAAAAAUAUGCAUCAGUCAGAUGCACAUCGCCAUCUACAAACUUUGACAUGCCUGGAGGUGUCGGCAUAAACAUUUGUUUUAGUUUCUAUAUACCGUAUGGCAGGACAUUUUUGGCUGGUAUUAAAUUCGGGAGAUUUGCUACGUUGGGGAAUUUUUAUUUCACAGCAUGUUCACAAAAAUAGUCACAGUUUUGCAUUUAUACUUUUAAUUCCAAAAACAUUUAAAUAAAUGUUUACUUAAUUAAAUGUGUCUGCUAAAACAGUAUCUCACUUACAGUAACUCGUUAUAUCAUCUACAGUGUAAUUGCAGUAACUUGGAGAACAACAAAGGAGGCCUUCUAAUCAGCUACAGUAUUUAUCAUUCUUAUAUGACCCUUAAUUUUAAGAACCAGCAAACUUUUAUGAUAAGCAUUUGCUGUCUUUCAGUUUUAAAACUAUGUUUCACAACAUAACACACUAGAACAAUCACAAUACUACCAGGCAGUAAUUGUAGGGCAGUAUUGCCACGUGUGAAAUCUUUAACAAUAAAGCCGAAACGAAAAUGCUUUUAUUUGCUUCGAAAUCAUUUCAAACUGGUUACUAGACUAGCAUGCACUGGCAGAAUCAGUUCAGUUUUAUAUGGUUGAAAAUGACAAUUACAAUCAACCAUUUUGUUACAGACUUUCAACAUGUCUGACACAAACAGUUUUGGCUAUUACUUAAUUAAACCCUUGUAUAAAGAAAAAAAAAAAACAACACGAAAUUGCUUAACAUAAAAAAAGAACAGUCCUACUACACAGUAGUUAAUGUAGUUAAUGCUUUCAAGCAAAGUGGCUUCAUCACUGCUAUUCUCAUAUCCACUUUGAUAUCUGACACAUUAUUUCUCUUGUCCAGCACUUUUUUAAUCUGUUCUGUAUA